GCCCGGGUGGCGAAACUGGUAGACGCAUGGGACUUAAAAUCCCCCGGCCGCAAGGCCAUGUGGGUUCGACCCCCACCCCGGGCACCA
rnacentral:tRNA from 2 species